rnacentral:rRNA from 1 species
CUACGGGCGGCAGCAGGCGCGAAACCUUUACAAUGCACGUAAGUGUGAUAAGGGAACCCCAAGUGCUCAUGUUAUGCAUGGGCUUUUGCCAAGAGCAAAAAUCUUGGCGAAUAAGUGGUGGGUAAGACGGGUGCCAGCCGCCGCGGUAACACCUGCGCCACAAGUGGCAACCAGUAUUAUUGGGCCUAAAGCGUCCGUAGCCGGUUUGAUAAAUCUUCUGUGAAAUUGUUGCGCUUAACGUAACAGCGUGCAAAAGAGACUGUCAGACUUGGAACCGGGAGGAGUCAGAAGUAUUUCUGGGGGAGCGGUAAAAUGCUAUAAUCCUAGAAGGACUGCCAGUGGCGAAGGCGUCUGACUAGAACGGCUUCGACGGUGAGGGACGAAAGCCAGGGGAGCAAUCCGGAUUAGAUACCCCGGUAGUC